ensembl:lncRNA
CACCUGCAGCCAUUUCUUUCUGAUGCAGGACUCCAUGUUGGUUUGCCUAAUUAAUCAACAAUCAACAGAUCCUUCUAGAAAAGAAAGAGAAAAGAGACUGAACUUCCUUCGGUGAGACAGUCAUGAAAUAGUCUUCACUCCAUUUUCCCAGCCAAGAGAUGGAAAGAAGAUGUAAAAAGGUUGGCCACCUUUCCUCAUCCCUCAGCUCUGACUUGAUUUGUCUGCAGGACUCAGACACGGUAGGGGAGCCUACGGUAGUAAAUUCCCCCACGGAAUCCUGCCGUAUAUGGGGACUUUCUUUUCUUGCCCAUAAAAGGUAUGGAAAGCUCCCGUCAGUUUUAGCGGUUAUUGUACUGUCUCAGCGCCAGCCCCUCACUCAUGCACUGUGACAGAAAACAGUAAGAGAGGCACCAGGAAGAGAAAAUGUGUCAAAUUCCCCCAGCCUCCUAGAGAAGGAAGACUGUCACUAUUGAUAAUAGCAUGUUUUACAAUGUGAUUCAUUUGGGAAAAGUUUAAAAUGAAAAAACUCUGUGUCAGGACUAGGAAUACAAUGAUGCACACACUCCCAGCCUUCGUGGAGCUCACAGUUGGCUGAUGGAGAACAACAUUAAACAAGCAAUAACAGUAAAGUAAGAGAAAAGAGAAGAUACUGCAUCCAAGAAAAAAGAACAGACUCAAACAGAAAAGGAAUAUUCAAAAGCCAAAAUGGAAUUCUUAGAAAUUAAAAACAGCAGAAAUGAGAAACUCAACAGUAAAUCUCUCAGAAAGUCAAGCAAAAAGACAAAGAGAUAGAAAAAUUGGAGGGAAAAUAGCAAGCCAAAUUAGAAGACUAGUCCAAGAAUUCGAAUAUCUAAGUAAUAGGAGUUCCAGAGAGAGAGAGAGAAAAAAACAAAAACAAAAACAGAAAACGGAAAACAGAAAAGAGGUAAUCACAAAUGAAAUUACAGUACUCGCUCCUAAUCCGUGAAGGUACGUUCCAAGACCCCAGUGGAUGUCUGAAACCACAGAUCAUGAUCCUCCGAGAAGCAGACACCAAAACAGAAUUUGAUGUGCAAGAAAUUUACUGGGGAAAAUGCCUAUGAAAGAUAAAGGAGGAAGAAGCAGGAGUGGAUGGGGAGAGCCUUCACACAAACGAGGUGAGGCAGGUCUGACUCAUGUGAAAGGAGAGCAGGAAGGAAGAAUAUCAGCCUGCAGGGCAGUUUGGAGAAAGUCUCCUCCAGGUCCAGAAAGAACCUCCGAAGCCGCAUGGCCUGUCGGAGGAGUCCCACGUAAGUCAGGGACUGGCCGACUCCAGCGCCCCCCUGGGAUGCUUGCUGGCUGAGGGUAGGCUGGGAGAAAUGUGAAUGUCAUGGUGGAUCCAAAAGGCAGCAGCUGGAGGCUGUCGGCCAAUUGCAUUUCCCGCAGCAGGUUCUUUUGAAGGAGAUCUGAGUGGAGCACUUCCAUGGCCAGCACAGAUUUCCAGGAGCUGUCAAUUUAGGCAGGUAAACAUAUACAUCACAGCUGUAUUCCAAGCCUGUGGACUGGCCCUUUGGGGUUCUGUGUCCGUUCUGUGUUCACUCAGCCAGAGCCUGGGUUGUGGGCAGGGACCAUGGUAUGGAACAUGGCUGCUCAGACAAGGAGGGCUGUGAUGUGUGUGUAGAUAGACCUCACAGGCCCAGGAAAGCAGGGAAAUGGUUGAUAUAAUACAAUUAUGUACAAGACACAGUGGCAGGAAGGAGGGAAUUAACUAACUGCUUAUGAAGGAGAGGUCAGGGAAGGGUCCAGGAUAAAGGGACGUGGAAUUGGGUUUACCACUGGAAUUUAUCACAUACACAGGAGGUGAUGCAGUCAAAUCUGUCUCAUUGGAAACCUGGAUUCACAUCCUGGCUCUGUCACUUAUUAGCUUUUGACCUUGGGUGAGUCUCUUAACCUUUUUCAAGCCACAGUUUUUUCAUCUGUAAAACAGAGAUGAUGAUCGUAGCUAUUUUACAGAGUUAGGAUGAUGCACGUAAAUUCAUUAGCAGAGUGCCUGACCUAUGGGAAGUGACCAGUAAAUGGUAACAGUUAGUAUUCUUGUUGUUAAUAAUUCUGACAUAUCAGACAGUGGAAACAGCCUGUCCAAAGACAUGAGAGGAUGAAGGGCAGCCAGUCCGGGUUGCUGCCGGCAGUUUUCUGUGGCUGGAUCAUAUGGUGCAAGGGAAAAUGUGGGAGAAAACAGGUUGGGAAAACAGGCCCCGUGAGACGAAAAGCCUUAUGUGCUGUGUAAGAUAUUUCGGACAUCACACUAGGUUAUGAGAAGCUAUUAGAGGAUAUUGGGGGCAGGGGUCAGAUUCACAUGUUUAAAAUUUCCCUCUGGCUGCAGAGCACUCAGUGGAUCAGAGGGAGAAGAGACUGGAGGGGGAGAUAGGUUAGGAGACUUUUGCACCAAUCCAAGCACAGGAUCAAAGGACCUAAGAGAGGGAGAGGAGAAGCAGGUUUGAAAGAUCUUUAGGAGGAAGAACUGACAAGCUACGGUGACCAGCUGGGCAUGCAGGUGAGGGAGGUGUCUUGGGUGAGGAAGAUGCCUGGUUGUCUGGCUCGAGAGACUGGCUGGCUGGAGGUGCAGUGCAGCCAACAGCAACUGUAAGGCAGGAGCAAGUGAUCGUGGGAGGAUGGUGGAAACAAGAGAGUUGAGUGUGGCUGUGUUGAAUCUGAGGGGCUUCCUGGACUUCCCAGGGGGCCUAUCUGGCAGGUAGAUGGAUGAAGGGGUCUGGGGCUCAGAUGAGAGGUCUAGAGGCACUGGAGAUUGUGGCCACAGUCCAAGUGGGGGCCAGAAUAAGAAUGAUGGUAGCAGUAAAAAGAAGAGGGUCGGUGUAAGACCAUCAUCGGGGCUGUGUGGUCUAUCUGGACAACUCGUCUGCAGCCACCUUGUAAACACAUGACGGAAUGUGGGAGUAUACUCAGCCCCACUGCCUCCUAAAGCCCCUUGAAUCCACACUGAUGCCGAAAAGAUGAGCAGCCAUCUGGGAUUGCAAGAGUGAAAACCAGCUCAGACUGAAAAAGAAAAAAGGAGUCCUAUAGUUAAUCAGGCUGAGAGGACACAGGUAAAAGUGGCUGCAAAGUUGAAAGGAGACCUUGUUUCUCCCAAGGCCAUGCAGUGACUAUAAAAUGAGCGACACGACUUUCCUACCAAUGGCACCCCAGACCUGGUUUGCUAAACUCAUUUAGUACUGAAGAUACCGAAAUGCUAAGCUGCCCUCGCCUCAUGGCAGCACUUCAUCCCUCCACUUCCCCUGAUCCCACCUCAGAAAGUAAACCGUCCAAACCAGGUGCCUUCUCCCCGGCAGUCCAGUCCUCUCCGAGUCCUUCUGCCAGAACACAUACCUUAUGGAGGACAUUUCCCUCCUCCCUCUUGGCCACUGCGCCUCUAGACUGGAACAAGCCAAUAACUCUGACACAUGUGUGUGUCAGACCACAGGUUGUCCCUGUUGGUCUGUGGUUGAUUCAGUUUUAACAAUAUGCACAUCCUAAAAACAGAAGUAUUGCUGAUGACAAUAUGCUACCCAGCAGGAUCACUGGGGACCAUGGAACCCCUGGUUGGACUAAAGUGUAAGAGGAAUAACUUUAAUCAGAAAUUUGGAAUAGGAGCAGGCCUGGCCACACUUGGCUGGGAACCUGUCAGCUUGCACUCAGAGAACUGCUUCUCUUCUGGGGCCAGGUCUUAAAAGGGACACUGGCAAACGGGACCACAUUCCAGGGAGAAUGAUAGAGUGUUGAGAUAACUCAAAAUAAAACACAUGAGGCGUGCUUGUAAGAACAUGAGGAAAUUGAGUUCUUCAAGGGAAAAUGCUAGAAAACCAUCUUCUAUUAUCUAAGAGGGCAUAAAAUUUAAAAGCGAUUAAACUUGCCCAUUAAGGCCUGGAAGGAUAGGAUAGGACCAAUGAGUCCAUCCUUGGCAGGAUACAGGCCAAGGCAGACUCAAACUCAGCAGAAGGAGAAUUUCACUUGCAGUCAGAGUGGACCACAGGCAGCCUAGACUGCUGUAGGAAGCAUGGGCGCCUUAUCACAGGGGGUAUUUAAAAAGAGGCUGGACGUUGCCUUGGACCAGGCUGUCGUACAAGGAACCUAAGCCUCAUCGGGACUUUGGACUAGAUGAUCUUUCAGCCCCUCCUACUCAGAGUCUGUGUCCUGAAAGCAGUGGCAAGACAAGCCACCUAAUGCCAUCAAUGCCUGUGGCUCCCUUCUCAGGGAGGUGAGGGGCAGGUGGAGGAGGUGAGGGUGAUGGAACCAGCCCAAAGCUCUCUACUGAGGGACAUUCCUUCAUCAGAAGCAACUGUGAUACCAUAAGACUCCAGCCACCUGGCUAUGGCUGCCUGAACUAGCGGUGGGCAAGUACUAUUGCAAGAAAGCUCUAGAAAAGCAGGAAUUUGAACUGGAAGUUAUAAAGAGAGGGCUGGUGGGUUGGGGACAGAAAAAGAAACUGAAGAAAAUCCACAGAAAGUAGGCUACAAGCAAGGCCACGGGAGGCCGCAGGGGUCCUGAUGCAGCAGAGGUUGUGGGGCAGGGCAGAGUUACAGAUGUUCCAGCAGUGACACUGGGAGGAGGUGAGUGCAGUCUCCAUAGUGACAUGGAACGAAAGAGCCCCUGGGGCCAAGAUAUAGAGAGAAGGUAGACUAUUGCUGCCCUGGGGUCCUCCGGUUCUGGCUCUUGUUCCUCUUCUGCCCUUGGUGGAGCCAAGUAUGCCACUGUCCCUGGGUUCCACGAGAGUCCAGUUGUCCUUAUAGCCAGGCACACCCAUGGAAAUAUGGCCCUUACUUGAAGCAAACUGAGCGAGAUCCUGUUUCUUGAAACUCAAAGAAUUUAGAGGUCUCGGGGGGAAAGACACUGACCUCUUGGGUCUUGAAAAGAGUCUAUGCAGUGGUACAGCUAGUGACAGGCUGGUAAUCCGUAAACAACCAGAAAAUGCAAAUCCCCCUCUCAGAUAUUCAUCUCUCCACGGGCCCAUCACCCACUCCCUACAUCCUACCUGGGGUUGGCUGGGGGCCGACCAUCCCUAUUUUUCUUGUACAUCAGCUUCUCUCCUGUCAAAAUAACAGAGACUCCUGGAAUGAGAAGGCAGUGCCCCAGGUGGGCAGGGGCCCAUAAAGUAGACAGAAUACUGGAGGCUUCAGCCAGGAGUUGGAUCACAAAUAGAAUGCAGCCUCCCUCUGCGAAAGUAAGAGGCUAUCUGAGGUGAGAGAACAGCCUCAGAAUCCUCCAAUCAAUCAUGGCCUGUUCUCUAAAUGCCUGCAGCAAGAGCCAACAGCCCUGGAGGCCCGAGGCUGCGGAGGGAGGCUGGUGACCUCUCACUUGGGCCCCGGCCUUCGGCCAAACUUUGUCUGUAAGAGGACCUCAGCCUCAUCGUGAGGAUUUGUGAAAGUAUUACUUAUGAAGUCUUUUUUGACCCCUACCUUACGGAAGAGGGAUCACUUUGCCUUUGCUACUGCAGGGCAACACUUCAGAGAUGCACCCUGGGGAGCCCUGCAGGGAGUGCAGUCUACCCACGGCGCUCCGUUCCCACUGCUCACUGCCCGUACUGUUGUUAUGAUUGUUUUUUGAAUAUUGUUAUUUUUUUAACAAGUCAUUUCCCUUGAGAGGUAAGGGGCCUCAUUAUUAUUAUUUUUUUUUAGGGAAAGAUUUGCCCUGAGCCAACAUCUGUUGCCAAUCUUCUUCUUUUUUUUCCCCUCCCCAAAGCCCCAGUACAUAGCUGUGCAUCCUAGGUGUAAGUCCUUCUAGUUCUUCCAUGUGAGCUGCCACUACAGCAUGGCAACUGACAGGUGGGUGGUGUGUUUCUGCGACCUCGAAGCAGACCUGGGCUGCUGAAGCAGUGAGUGCUGAACUUUACCCACGAGGCCAUCAGAGCUGGCUCAGGGCCUCAUCUUUUUUCUUUAUCCCCAACAUUUAGCCCAGUGCCUGGUAUAGAAUGGGGCUCAGUAAAUGACUGAUGAAUGAAUAACCGUCAGAUAAAAUAACCAAAUUCAAGCUCCAUGAAUUGCUACAUUGGCUCUAUGUUCAUCCCAAAUGCCUUUUCUGGGUCCCCACCACACCCCUAGGAAAUAAGCAUCCACUUGGAAACACAGUGCAUAUUUACACAUUGCGGUUUCUAUUUACUUAGUUCCUCUUCUUGAGUUCCUCAGCGAUGUCCACUUCUCCACCAAGCUCCAGGCCCCUGGGGACAUGGACGCAUCACCAAGCUUGCUUAUUAAAGCUUCAAGGGAUAUAGUUGGAAGACAAGUCCUUAACCUUUGAGUUUUGUUAGGACAUAAAUUCUUAAAAAGGCACAAAGUAAGACCACUAAAUCGUGCCCCACUAAACAGAGAGGGGGAUGUUGAUACUAAGAUGUGAUCCCUAAGGAGGAUGAUUGCAGAAGCACGUACUUUAUAUCUGUGAGACUGGGCCCAAGGCCCAGCUCCACUACGUGCUGUUAGUGUGACCGUGGACCAGUUUCUCAACCUCUCAAAACCUUGGUUUCCUCAUCUGUAAAAGCCACAAUUUGGCACAGGCCUGCCACGGAAUAAGCUCUGAAUACAUGUUGGCUAUUGCUUGUGGUUCUCCAUAAGCUUAUAGACAGAGAAUUCAGAGAUUUUAAACAUCACCAAGUUAUCGAGUUCUUCUGCACAUGGUCAAAGGUGCUGUGAGAGGAGUGGGGGUAGAGGUGAGAAAUCCAGAGGACACACCCUCCCUUCAACCAGAAUUGCUCUGCAUGCAUCUGCGUGACUGACGGAGCUUUUAUGCAGGAUUCAGGGGAAAGGAAAAGACAGAGUUUUCACUGCCAAAAUUCAUCCAAACUGCAAACCGGUGCCAGGAUCUCCUCUUCAACAUCCUGGCCAAAUGGUUGUCCUGUCUUUUCUUAAACACUUAAAUUCUCUCUCUGAGGCCCCAAACUAAUUUGCUUAGCAAUUUUCUUACUCUUUAGAAUAUUCGGAAGCUCAAACAAAUGGCUAAACAAGUUUUAUUGCCUUGUAGAAGUCCCGCCAGACCUAUUUUAAUGAAAAGAGCAUUGUUCAAAAUUAAUUGAAGUCCAAUACUCUUGCAACGGUGCCACAAUGGUCACUGAAAAGGAUUGUCUUCCAUAGGUUAUAAAUGUCACUCAGCAAUCUUGGCCACACUGUUCAUUUGCUUAGCAAAUCCUUUUGGUUACAGUGAGCAUAAAGAUAAUUUUCAGCCUAGACCCUUGUGCAAAUUACCACAAAUUCUGAAUCAAUGGAGUUUGAAAUCAUAAGAUUUCAGUGUUGCUAUAAUGAUGUUUUCCCUUCUGCAGUUCUCGUGAUUUUUCAAAUCAUUUUCCUAGCUGAUGUCUUACUUUUGCCAGCCCCGCCGCACUGAGAGGAGAAUCAGAUAAAAUUCUACAGGUCAGCAUGCUCUGUAAACUGCAAAGCUCCGAAAAUGUUUAUAAUUAAUAAGUUAUUAGGCUCCAGAUCUGCCGACUCUGACUCACAGCCUGAUCCUUAGGCCUUGCAGCGUCUCUCGCUCUGAAGGCUGGAAGAUGACUCAGGUCAGAGCUGCCCAGCCACAGUUAGAGAAAUAUCCCGGAUUUGCACGGCUUUGUGUCUUCCAGGACAGAGGAGGACACUGGUGACUCCCAGGUGCUAAUGCAGAUGGGCACAGAAAUGAAAUGGGUGGGCAAGUGUGCAGUGCGGUCAGGGAGGGGUAACUGAAGAAGCCCUCAUCGACAAGAAAACCUGCCCUUUGGUUUACAGCUACAACUGCUCUCUGCUCUGCUUGCUGUCCUCACCCAUUUCCAUUUUCAGGAUCAUAGCCAUCUUUGAAGCCCAGGCCAACCAGCUGCUAUGCCACCUCCUUCAGGAGCCGAUUCUGAUCAUCUCAAGUUCAAGUCAUCCAUGUCUCUCCUCUGAGCUUGUCAAGGUCUUUGCCCGACUCCCCUGACCCUUCUUCCAUAUAGCCUUGUACUGCUGCUAGGAAACAAGGCUUUUCUUUCCCGGUAGUAUAAGCAAUCUGAGAGUGGGGCCAUGCAAUUUUUGUCUUACCUAGCACACUGCGUUAUGUAGAGCAGAUUGUGGCAGAUGUAGUCCCAACUACCCCUUCUCCCCUUUGUCCUUUUCAUAAGUCUUGGCUGAGUACGUGGCUGCCUAGCUAGAGUGACAUUUCCCAGAUUCCUUUGCAGCUAGGCAUGGCCCUAUGAGGCUUCUGUCAAAUGGGUAAGAGCAGAAGUGAGGUGAAAUUCCACUUUACAUUCCUAACGAGUGAGUAGCUGGUCCAUUUUGUGCUUUCCCCUUCCCGUGGGCUGGGGAGCAGAUGUAGCAGACAAGAAUUGCACCCUGGGGGUGGCAGAGCAACAAGAGGGAAGGAACUUGUGUCCCUAGGAAAGCUCCCUCUUACCUGGACAGCUCACCCCAAACACUUAGGUGAAAGACAAAUAACCUAUUUUUCUUAAGCUAUUCUAUUUCAGGAUCUCUGUAUUAAAAUUGCCUUGCCUAAUUGCUAAUCAGAGUACAGGUGCUCAAUACAAUUUUUUUGUGUGGGAAUGAAUGGAUGCAUGGAUAAACCAAGAAAUAAAUAAAAUGAAUGCAUGAAUAAGUAAAUGACCUGUCGUCAGUUGUAGUUCUGCUUUAAGCAAAACCUGUCUAAUUUUCCUAAAGGUGUCUCUGAUUUUCCCGAAAGAGAAGGAGCCAGGGAAGAGUUUGGGGAAGAGAAGGAGGACCUGUGCUUCAGAGGGCAGGUCCCUGGGAGUCCAGUGAUGGCUUUGCUACUGAUUCACUUUUUGUAUGAUGUUAGGUUACUCCCCAGGGACCUGCUAUCCGAAAAUUCAGAAAGAACUUUUCUACUGUCAGGAGUUCAAUUGAAAUAACUUGAGCUGGCAAUGUGCAUGGACUAUCAGAUAACAAUAAAGGAUGCUCAGUGAAUCUAUCCUUCUUAUGACAAUGUUCUUUAAGAAAUUCAAUGAAUUUUUUCUAAUGUGCAACCAACUGACUCUGUAAGGUGAAGCAGCAUCAUAUGGUGGAGAAAGAUAAUAUGUGCUCUACAUUCCUCAUAGGGUUACAUGUAGUGCGAAGCAAACGAGAUCAGGCGUGCAAAAGUCAACUGGUAAGCCUAGUAAUGGAUGGCUGUGUUUUAUCUGCCUGGCAACUUCCUUCCGUUAUCUAUCCAUGUGAUUCUGGCUGCUAAUCACAGUCCCCUCUCCCGGGCCCAAAUAGUGAGAAAGUGACCCAGGCCUGGCCAAUCAUAGUCUCUAAUUUUUUGGUCACAGUGAUUCAUCCAAAGAGUGAACACGUGACCCAGGUUGAGCCAUCAGAGCUCUUCCCUAGGAAGAGCUUGUAUCUCUCCGUUCUCCCUGGGUUACCGGCUGGGGUGAAGUCAGCCUAGAGCUCUUUGCAGCCCUGGGUUCUGAAUGGAGGAAGCAGAGUUCAGAGAUGGAGAGGGAGGCUCUGACUGAUGUCUGAGACCAGCUCCACUUCUGUCCUCCAGAAUUACAUGAACAAAAGAUGUUUGUGACAUAAAAAAACUCCCCCCUUCUUUUUUUUUAAAGCUGAUUUAGUAUCUUUUACCUGAAAUCAAAAUAAUCCUAAUAACAUACUGUAUACAAGUAAUAUAACACCCAAGAGAUUCAUUCAAAUGGACUUUGAGAGCUUACUUAGAGAUUCUAACCAGGGACAAUGCCACUUCAGAUUCUAACCAAGAAUGGUCAUCUUUUGUCUGGAAGAGUUAUCCUUUUGACCAACCAUGUGACAUCUAAGGGGACAUACACUUAGUGGUAAAGAUGGAAGAGGAACUCAACCAGCCAGUGAGUCUAGUCUAGCUCACCCUGGUGACCAGGGUAAUGAUAGUUUUGCUUGAAUAUUUCCAAGGAUGGGAGUGUCACCUCCUCACAAGGCAACCACCCUAUUGCUGUACGUCAUUGAGUCUUAGAAAUAAAACCAAAUCUGUCCCCUUUAGACUUUUCUUUGUUUUCCUUUUGUUCUCUGACGAUAUACAGGAUUUCAACCUGACCCCCAUCCACACUCCCAACCUUCUAAGUGGAUGGCUGUUCAGAUAUGUGAAGAGAGAUAACAUGUGUCCCUGAGUCUUUUCUUCUCUGGACUCUGAGCAACUUUGCUCAGGUGACAAAGCUGUUAAACUCUUUACCAACCUGACUUGUCUCUGUGGGUACUCGCCAAUGAGCCAAUAUCCCUCUUCAGCCAUGAUAUCCAGAACCACAGUCAGAACUGCAGCCAUGUUUGCCAGCGCAAAACCUACCACAAUGAUGACCACCCUUGAUCUGGAUCCGGACAUUGUAGACAUGAAACCUAAAUUUAUGUCUCUCUCUUUUUUUUAGUUCUUCUCAGACUGUUGACUCAUAUUGAGCUUAAAAUAAACUAAAACCACUAAUUCUUCUCUCUCAUGAAGUGCUAUUAACCUAUAUUUUGCUUUUGUGGCUUAUUCUUGAAACCAAGUGAAAGAAGUUACAUUGAUUCUGAUUUAUUCAUCGUGGUUCAUCAUUUUGUAUUUUUAAAAAUACUGAGCAUGUGCACAAAUAUGUUUUCUACAUUGCUCAGAGUUUGGUCAUUUGCAAAUUAGAUAAGCUUUCCUCUUUGACUUUAUUCAAAUCAUUGAUUGAAAUGUUGACUAGGAUUGGCCCAAGGGCAAGAAACCUGGCUUCAGAAGGCCAGGGAUUUUUUUCAGAGUGAAUGCCUUCAGCCAACUAUGAAUCCGCCCACGGGUACACCGCGCAACCCACCUUCCUCCAUCUGGUUUCCAUCAUGAGAAAUUUGUCAAACUCCUGAGCUGACCUCAUUAAUGCACUAAUGAUAAUUGUCCCUUAACAUUGGAGAAAGGCCUGGACCAACAGGCCUGGGACAGGUUCAUUUUGUGGGUAGGGGGAGAGGAGGAGCAGAAUGGGCCCUGCAGAGAGAAGAUCGGACCAGCA